CAAAAAUCUGGUUCAAUUCCAAAUCGUGCGCGCUGACCAGGUUCCUUCUAACCUUGGCUCCCCAAAAAUCCUCCACACACACGGACACACCAGCUACGCAGCUAUGGCGACGGCUCGCGCCGUCUUCUCCCGGGGGCGCACCCUCUGGCGGCGGCGGCGCCUUCUCUCGGGGGCGCACCCUCUCGCGGCGACGCCUCCUUCUCCCGGGGACUCGCCCUCUCGCGGCGACUCCUCCUUCUCUGGCGCCCUCAAAGGCUCCUGCUCUGAAUCCUGGGAUCGCCAAUAUUUAAUGUUUACUUGGACAACAUCGAGAGUUCCUUGAGGACGUCAUUCAAUGGAGUCAGACAGUACUUCAAAUUGAUCCUCCAAAGAGACAAUGUGCAACUCCCAGAGGGAAAAUUGGUGACUCAUCCCAAGGGUUGGAUCAUUUUAAGGAUCAGCCCUUCGGCAUCCUCUCAUGACUACUCAGAGUCAGUAUAUGCACUGUACAGAACACAUGAUAUGUACUUGGAUAGCAUCGUGGCAAAUCAUGUUUGCUACAGGUUCAGUGAUCACGAUCGUUCCAUGUUAUUACCCAAGGAGUUAUGCAAAAAGGGUACACUCAUAAUGGCACAGAUGUCAAAAUACCCUAAUUUGGGUUUUAAUCCCAAAGCACGUGGCCAGAUAACCGUCGGAGAUGAUGUUAUUAGAGGACAUUACCAGGUGCUCUUAGGCAUUGCUAAUAUGGAUCUGUCUCAGGAAGAAAGUGUUGACAUCAGCUUGAAAGAGGCCCUUCUCUUCUUUGUUCUGCUAGCCGAAGCUCUACGGUUUCCCAAGCUCGAAAAGUGGUUACUAAAUAUCUUGGCAAAGAAGAUGGAAAUGUCAGUCCCGGUUAGUAUAACCAAGCUCUUCAACAAAUGGGGAACGCUCUCCCAGAUUCUUCAUAAAGGCAGAGAAAAGUUCAAUGACGAUAUUACUGAUAAGAUGCUGAAGAAUAAAUGUAAAACAUUUAAUGAUGUAUGUUCCAAGUUAGGAAUAGCGAACAGAAUCAACUUGGGCAAAUUGGAGAAAAAGAAGAAGAAGAAGAACAGGCUCUAAGGUCAUCAUAGAUGUUACAAAGCUGGUCCAUAUUUAGCUGUUGAGCAAGGCCUUCAGCAGGCAUGUUAAUAAUGUUGAGCUUCGUCUCUCUAUAUAGCGUCUGUCCGUCUUGAGUCUACAUAGGGUUCAGCUUGGACAAGUGUCAAAAAUCUGUUGGGGAAAACAAGUGUUUUGAUCCAUGAAUGGAAGAUUCUGUGCAAAGGAAGUCAAUUGGUACUGCUGCAACGCUAUGUACUACUUCUCGACCGUCGAAGAAGCAAGCUGCUGAGAAUUGCCUGCCGUUGAAGGCACAAAAAGGGGCCUUCCUGCGAGCCCACUCCGGGUGAUGUUCCUGUAACAAAAAUGGGAGGAAAAAGAUGUAACAGUUACGCGUGACCUUUGCUAUUUUGCUGUUGAAGCUGUCUGUUUUGUUGUGAGGUGUAACCUGGUAAAUGUUCUUGUUUGGUGAGGGGGUCUGACCCAGCUACUUUAGCUCAGCUGGAGCGCUGGGAACAGUUCUUUUGGUUUUGCUUUGUGGCCUCGUGUUAAUAAAAAUGAGGUGGGGGGAAACCCCUUUUUGUAAAACAAAAAAAUGAUUUGGCAAUACAAAUUGCUUUAGAGGUUGCUCUUUGUCCUGUACAUGGUUUGGCAA